rnacentral:rRNA from 1 species
AAUCUUAGACAAUGGGGGAAACCCUGAACCAGCAAUGCCGCGUGAGUGACGAAGGUCUUCGGAUUGUAAAGCUCUGUCCUUGGGGAAGAUAAUGACGGUACCCAAGAAGAAAGCCACGGCUAACUACGUGCCAGCAGCCGCGGUAAUACGUAGGUGGCAAGCGUUGUCCGGAAUUAUUGGGCGUAAAGGGCGAGUAGGCGGCCAGUUAUGUCAGAUGUGAAAGGCUAGGGCUUAACCCUAACAUGGCAUUUGAAGCUGAUUGGCUUGAGUGUAGGAGAGGGAAGUGGAAUUCCUAAUGUAGCGGUGAAAUGCGUAGAUAUUAGGAGGAACACCAGUGGCGAAGGCGACUUCCUGGCCUACAACUGACGCUGAUGCGCGAAAGCGUGGGGAGCAAACAG